rnacentral:rRNA from 1 species
AAUUCCAGCUCCAAUAGCGUAUAUUAAAGUUGCUGCAGUUAAAAAGCUCGUAGUUGAAUUUCGGGACCAAUAUGUCGGUCGUGCCUCGGUACGUACUGGCAUCGUUGGUUUCUCCCUUCUGACGAACCAUGAUGUCAUUUAUUUGGUGUCGUGGGGAAUCAGGACUGUUACUUUGAAAAAAUUAGAGUGUUUAAAGCAGGCUCACGCUUGAAUACAUUAGCAUGGAAUAAUGAAAUAGGACGUUUGAUUCUAUUUUGUUGGUUUCUAGGAUCGACGUAAUGAUUAAUAGGGAUAGUUGGGGGCAUUAGUAUUCAAUUGUCAGAGGUGAAAUUCUUGGAUUUAUUGAAGACUAACUACUGCGAAAGCAUUUGCCAAAGAUGUUUUCAUUAAUCAAGAACGAAAGUUAGGGGAUCGAAGACGAUCAGAUACCGUCGUAGUCUUAACCAUAAACUAUGCCGACUAGGGAUCGGAUGAUGUUAAUUUUUUAAUGACUCAUUCGGCGCCUUACG